UACGUAGGGGGCAAGCGUUGUCCGGAUUUAUUGGGCGUAAAGAGUGUGUAGGCGGUGCUCUAAGUUCGGUGUGAAAUCUCCUGGCUUAACUGGGAGGGUGCGCCGGAAACUGGAGUGCUCGAACGUGGGAGAGGAAAGCGGAAUUCCUGGUGUAGCGGUGAAAUGCGUAGAUAUCAGGAGGAACACCUGCGGUGUAGACGGCUUUCUGGACCAUUGUUGACGCUGAGACACGAAAGCGUGGGUAGCAAACAGG
rnacentral:rRNA from 1 species